AGGUGGCACAGUAGAUAGAGCACUGGACUUGGAAUCAAGAAGACUCAUUUUCAUGAGUUUAAAUCUCAUCUU
rnacentral:tRNA from 1 species